UCAGCAGGUCACCCUAUCGUUUUAUGCUGAACUUGUUUCAGCACCUUUUGAAUUUCAAGAGGUCUCGAAUCAAGUUCGGGAUAAAGAGGAAAGUCCGGACACCGUAGUGCAACAUAGCGGGUAACACCCGUCUCCGUCCACCAUUUGGCGGACGGACGGACAAGUGCAACAGAAAGAAUGUACAGUUCGGCUGUAGUGAAAUCAGGUAAACUCUAUGUGGUGAAACGUCAUGUAAACCGGUGUUUGAGGGCUGCACGCCCGAGCCGAAGGGUAGACGGUUAGAGCCUUUGGGCAACCUAAGGCCUAGAUAAAUGAUAGGGAACCUUUGGUAGUGCUUUGGGGUUUAACCUGAAACAAGACCAGGGUGUACAGAAUCCGGCUUAUGGCCUGCUUUUUUU
rnacentral:RNase_P_RNA from 1 species